rnacentral:rRNA from 1 species
GCAAGUCGAGGGGUAACAGGAAGUGCUUGCACUUCGCUGACGACCGGCGCACGGGUGAGUACCGCGUAUACAAUCUGCCUCAUACUAGGGAAUAGCCCGAAGAAAUUUGGAUUAAUGCCCUAUAGUAUCUUUUUAAGGCAUCUUAUUAAGAUUAAAGGUUACGGUAUGAGAUGAGUAUGCGUUCUAUUAGCUAGUAGGUGUGGUAACGGCACACCUAGGCUACGAUAGAUAGGGGCCCUGAGAGGGGGAUCCCCCACACUGGUACUGAGACACGGACCAGACUCCUACGGGAGGCAGCAGUAAGGAAUAUUGGACAAUGGGCGAAAGCCUGAUCCAGCCAUGCCGCGUGCAGGAUGACGGCCCUAUGGGUUGUAAACUGCUUUUAUAUAGGAAGAAAAACUUUCUCGUGAGAAAGCUUGACGGUACUAUAAGAAUAAGGAUCGGCUAACUCCGUGCCAGCAGCCGCGGUAAUACGGAGGAUCCAAGCGUUAUCCGGAAUCAUUGGGUUUAAAGGGUCCGUAGGUGGACAAAUAAGUCAGAGGUGAAAUCCUGCAGCUCAACUGUAGAACUGCCUUUGAUACUGUUUGUCUUGAGUUAUUAUGAAGUGGUUAGAAUGUGUAGUGUAGCGGUGAAAUGCAUAGAUAUUACACAGAAUACCGAUUGCGAAGGCAGAUCACUAAUAAUUAACUGACACUGAGGGACGAAAGCGUGGGUAGCGAACAGGAUUAGAUACCCUGGUAGUCCACGCCGUAAACGAUGGUCACUAGCUGUUUGGACUUCGGUCUGAGUGGCUAAGCGAAAGUGAUA